rnacentral:rRNA from 1 species
CCUACGGGAGGCAGCAGUGGGGAAUAUUGCACAAUGGGGGAAACCCUGAUGCAGCGACGCCGCGUGUAGGAAGACGGUCCUCUGGAUUGUAAACUACUGUCCCCAGGGACGAAGAUGACGGUACCUGGGGAGGAAGCUCCGGCUAACUACGUGCCAGCAGCCGCGGUAAUACGUAGGGAGCGAGCGUUGUCCGGAAUUACUGGGUGGAAAGGGAGCGUAGGCGGGGAUGCAAGUUGGGUGUUAAAUCUACCGGCUCAACUGGUAGUCGCACUCAAAACUGCAGCUCUUGAGUGAAGUAGAGGCAGGCGGAAUUCCGAGGGUAGCGGUGAAAUGCGUAGAUAUUAGGAGGAACACCAGUGGCGAAGGCGGCCUGCUGGGCUUUUACUGACGCUGAGGCUCGAAAGUGUGGGGAGCAAACAGGAUUAGAUACCCCAGUAGUC